AGUAUUUGUUUGGUCGACAUACCACGUUGGUUGUAGUGAAUGCACCUUGCAGUAAGGCGGUAUUUGAGUUAUAUUUUAGAAGUGCCUAGACAAAAUCUGCUCCUUGUCGUGUGCAGUAACCAUCGCAAACCCUCCGGACUUGUGUAACGCCGUUAGUUCGCCGUGUGUUUCGUGCGAUCUACCAGUGUCGACAGUGAGUGUCUUACUACAGCGCCCGUCCGAGCUGCCUUUGUUCUGCCGAGCUGCCUGCCCGCGCUCUCGUGAAAAGUCUGGUACUGGAGCUUCGAAUCGUAGUGUAUGGAAGACUGUUGAAGGUUGUGCUUUUGUGGAGCUGGAGUUCAUCGGAAGUUCUACAGUGCUUGCGCCAGAAAAACGUCGGUGCCUCGGUACCUUUGAGACGAAGGAGCGUUGGCCAAGUCUUUUUGAAAGGCUAUGCGGAUUCUGGAGGCAUCCCUACAUCAAGCAGGAACCUGCUGCACUGCUGGAAGCUGGACAGCACGACAAUAAAGCACGUGAUCUGUGUGCUUUCUCAAAGGUAGACAUCGGCGACGGUGUAUAUGUUGAAAAGUGCCUGCUGAAGAGGCUGCGCCUGGAUGCUAACAACUCAGGCUUUCAGUUCGCGGGGGGCCUCCUUAAGGCUCCUUUUACAAAA